GAGACGCUGACCAAAGUACUGAUAUGGAUGAGCCCCUAUUGAAGUUAGUUGAUGAUCGAUGAAUUAAGUAUCCACCCUGCAAACUGUGGAUCAGAGAAUUGUAUUGGACAGUAUCUGACAUCAAAAAGGUAGGUAGUCCUAUAUUAUUUUUAUAAUCAGUCUGUAAGAUUUUAUUUUUACGUCAUAUUUUCUUUUUCUUUUCACUUUAUUUGGUUAAUCUUUUAAUGGCUUUUAUUUUCAAUAGCAAAUAAAUGUGACAUUUUUAUUUAAUAAAAGGUUACUCCAACCAAAAUCCAGUGUUUUCAUAAAUGUGGUUGUCAGCAAAUGCCCCAAAUGCAAAAAAAUAAAUUUAAUUAAAAAAUGUUUCCUUCACCAAAAGUAACUUUUCCCUUAGCCCAAUUUUUCUCAGCUGACAUUAGUCCACCUCGGGGGAGAGAGAGCCAGGUGGAAGGACUGAGUAGACCACUGGGGCGGCAUGUAAGGUGGACAUGAUGCCAUUGGCUGUCUGGUGACAACAUGGUGUACAUACUGGCAUCAGACCCCAAUUUUGCACAGAAUUUAUAUUAGCGAGCCCAGUUCUCUUGUUCUCAGCUGGUUAAUGACACCCCAUAUGUAUGUGCAGCAUUUCAUAGUAUUUUCAACUCUACACUUACAGACUCCAGACACCAUGACCACUUUGAAUUGCUGCAGUGGUCAUGGUGGUUGGAGUAAACCAUUAAAGCAGAAUUCUCCAGCUCUCUGCAUAGUAUCAUAUUAUGCUAUUACUAGAGCGUUAUGUUUGUCUUAUCCUUGGGUAAUACAGAGCCUGUCUGACACCCAUCCGGCUCUGUAAUGUAAGUCAGGAAUGUAGGUGGUGACACAUUAUAUUUUUAUAAAAGAGCAGAAGUAUUUAAGGUCUUUUUACAUCUGGUUAUUAAUUUACUAUUAUUGUAUAUUUGGCUAUUUUAUUUUAAGAUUUUUUUCUCUUUAUUCUACUUAUAUGUGUCCACCUUUAACAAAACCUUGCCAUUUUCCUGUUCUCUGACAUUUUAAAUGCAUGACAUCAUAUUUACGUUACACUUUCAAUGUUAUCGAUUUAGCAAUACACGCAAGGGUUUGUUUAUAUUUUUAUUUAUCUCUUUACAGUUAAUUCAAGUAUGAACCCCAGCAUUGAUCAUCGAUACUAAUCUAAUCCCGAAUUAUUCCGCUAACAUGGACGUAUUACAGG